rnacentral:rRNA from 1 species
CACGAACGCUGGCGGCAGGCUUAACACAUGCAAGUCGAGCGCCCCGCAAGGGGAGCGGCAGACGGGUGAGUAACGCGUGGGAAUCUACCCAUCUCUACGGAAUAACGCAUGGGAACGUGUGCUAAUACCGUAUACGUCCUUCGGGAGAAAGAUUUAUCGGAGAUGGAUGAGCCCGCGUUGGUUUAGCUAGUUGGUGGGGUAAAGGCCUACCAAGGCGACGAUCCAUAGCUGGUCUGAGAGGAUGAUCAGCCACACUGGGACUGAGACACGGCCCAGACUCCUACGGGAGGCAGCAGUGGGGAAUAUUGGACAAUGGGCGCAAGCCUGAUCCAGCCAUGCCGCGUGAGUGAUGAAGGCCCUAGGGUUGUAAAGCUCUUUCACCGGUGAAGAUAAUGACGGUAACCGGAGAAGAAGCCCCGGCUAACUUCGUGCCAGCAGCCGCCGUAAAAC